GAUGAACGCUAGCGAUAGGCCUAACACAUGCAAGUCGAGAGGCAUCACAUGAAGUAGCAAUACGGAUGGUGGCGACCGGCGCACGGGUGAGUAACACGUAUGCAACCUGCCUUUCAACAAGGGCAUAACCCGUUGAAAGACGGACUAAUUCCCUAUAACACAGGGGUCCCGCAUGGGAAUAUUUGUUAAAGAUUAAUCGGUUGAAGAUGGGCAUGCGUUCCAUUAGCUUGUUGGCGGGUAACGGCCCACCAAGGCAACGAUGGAUAGGGGAACUGAGAGGUUUAUCCCCCACACUGGUACUGGAGACACGGACCAGACUCCUACGGGAGGCAGCAGUGAGGAAUAUUGGUCAAUGGACGCAAGUCUGAACCAGCCACGUCGCGUGAAGGAAGACGGCCCUACGGGUUGUAAACUUCUUUUGUAAGGGAAUAAAGUGGCCACGUGUGGCUUUUUGCAUGUACCUUACGAAUAAGGAUCGGCUAACUCCGUGCCAGCAGCCGC
rnacentral:rRNA from 1 species